UGGCUGCUCUCUUGUUCCUGUGGGCCCACACAAACAGCUGAACAAACAGCAGUAAUAUCUGUGGGAAAGACAGAAUGAUUUUGCCCCUCUUUCUCCAAGUUUCUUCAUUUUUCUAUAACCCUGCCUGCCUCCUCAGGAUGUUCCAGCUCCUCACCUUGGCACAUGGUGCCCAAAAAUUGUGAUGCUUUACUCAAGGUGGCACCAAGCACUGCAGUCCUGCCAGGACUGGUGUCUCUAGCCAUGUGUGGGGGAAUCUCUCUGCUUUCAGCCACAUCCUUGCUGGUGUUUGGGUAAAACAGUGCCCAGCUCUUGCUAAUCUCUAGUAUUCAUGACAACAUGAUGUUCCAAAACAAAGCAUGAAGAAAGAGAUGAAAACUGGAUUAUUUUUUAAACAGUGUGACUGGGAGUAGUCACUUAAUUUCUGGGUUUGAGUUUUCAGACUACAAUAAUUUUUAAGUACUGUUCUACCUUUCCCUUCUCUUACUGCCUUAUCCAUUUAUCCUCCACCUCAAACAUAAAAGCUAAGUAUCCUUCAUCCCAAACAUAAAGAGUGAUUGUUUUUCCCCGUUUAAAUCCAGGAAUCUCUUUAAUCCUGUAUGUGAGACAAUGGGAAACAUACCAGGAGGUGAGAGAAGAGGCUUGGCAACACAAGAGAGAAUGCACUAAACCAGUUAUUUAUUUUCCAAUCAUUAAACUCCACAGCCUAGAGUUACUGGUCUUUAUAGCAGCCUGGUCAAAUAGAAAAAGACACAGGGCAGAAGAGAAAGGUCCUAUGUUUCCAAACUGAUGCAUGGACAAGGUGCCAAAUGAUCGCAUUUCAUUCAUUUGCCACAAACUAGGUUAGCUUUGAGCUUGAAGGAGAGAAAAUAGCAGGUUUUUAAGUACUGCUUCUGGGUCUGGCAUCAACAUUUCUGUUGCCAUAAUGAGUCAGACAUCAGAGGCAAUACACAUGAAAGGAUGCAGGCCAGUGCUUAGGCAAACAGAAGUGGGAAAGCAGAACUGAAAAAUAAGUGCACGCGUCAGGGAAGAAGGACUCUAUAAUCACAAAACUUUUGCAAACUAUAACCUCAAUUUCCUUUAUUUCAUCAAAUAUAUUCACUUUAAAAUAAACCUACUACCAUCCCCACCACCAAUACAAAAACCCCUCCAGAAUUCUGGGCAAAGUUAAUUUGCCAGAGGCAGAGUUUGUUCUGUUAAUGGCCAUUUGCCAUGUACCAAUGCCACAGUCCCCAAAUGCUCUUGCACAUUUCCCAUCAGGCAAGUACACACAUGAUUAAGAACAUUUGAGCAGUCAUCCUUAGAACUGUGAAAAACAUUAAUCCUUAAAUGAAGGGAAAUCAGUCUUCUGAGCCACAGAAACCAUGGCCUCAGAUGCUCCUUCCCUUUGCCUUUUGUCAGGGCUCCUGAAGGGAUGUUGGAUGAUUAGGGGUAGAUAACUGGCUGUGGCAACAGACUGUGGGGUGGGAAGUGCAUUCAUGGUGCAUUCAUUUCAAACUCUGAUUUGCACCCUUGCUUGGGGGCUUCACUGGGAACUCAGAGCAGUCCAGACACAUAUUUGGCACUUUUCAGCUGUCAAGUAACUCUCUCAAUUGCUCUCUUACACCUCACAUUUUCAUUGUCUUUUCUUCCUCCUUUCUUUUUCAGACCAUCCCUGCUUCUCUGACUCCUCUUUCAAUGUGUAUCAUCAUUACCUAGAGAGUUGAUAUGUGUUGCUUGGUGCUCUUCUUUACUACUCUUUGUUCUCUCCAACACUUUAUCAAACAUAAUUGUCACAAAGAAAAUUUUUAUUCCAAGAAGCUUCAGUGAUCUGCUAAUCAACUAGUACAAAAUAUUCAACUAGAAAACUCUAGAAGAUCUCCCAUGUCCCUUCCUGCCCUCCAUUACUAGGCUUCCUUUGCUAUAUCAGGACUUGUCUGUUGACAAUUUUAAUAACGUGACUGAUUAAUGGGGAACUUUUCAUUUUAUUUUGACCAACAACUGUACUAAUAGAGUUUCAUCACUCUAUAGUACAGUUGAAUUGAUGUGAAGAUACAAGUGGGCAUCACCUCCUUGAUCUUGGUUAGAUCACAGAAACUGCUUUCCAUCUUGGGAAUCAGAGCUGCAAAAUUUUGUCUUACAAAAUUAUGUGACAUAAAAAACCUCUACUAAAGCACACAGAAUUCAAUAACCAUGUAUAUAACCCUCUGGUACCUCCAUUACUACAGUGUUAGAUGGUGUUGAUGCAACACAAGCCAAAAUGGUGAGGUCACUGCUUCACACAGUUAUGAGGUCCAAUAUCCACAAAGAACUUGCACUCACAUGUUAUUGUUCUGGAGUCAGUUAAUGAUUAACGUGGGUUAGCUCCUUGUGCCUUGUUGACAUAAUAUCAGGGUUUCUCAAAAACGUAGGGAUACACAGAGAUACUGUAGGGGUUUUAGAAUAGAUUCUAUUCUUUAGAGUUGGAAAACAAAGAUCUUACAGAAUAUUAAAAAUGUGUUGAAUUCCUGACUCUGCUGCCAAGAAUCAGCCACCAUUUUACAUGUAGUGCCUUGGUAUUUCAGGCCAUGCCUGCCUUGUGUGAUCCCACGCAUGUGCUGAAAAUAAAGAGAAUGGAUAAGGCAGCAGAAACAUGAUUAAGCUUUGAUCUGAAAAGGGAUCCUAACUCUCUUAUGCUGCUGAGAGUUUGUGGACACCAAAGAGAAUAUGGUAAGUUUGCUCAGCAAACUAGAGGUGUGACAUUAAUACAAGUUACCCAACAUUAGAGCCUUCCAUACAGCCACAGCUAAAAUAAAUCUGUUUCCCCACUAAUUAUCUUAAACCCAACAUAGCUAUGUUGCUUCUCCUACUGCCACAUUUUCUUUUGCACUUAAUGAUCUAAUCACAUCCUCCUUUUUCUACAGGGCCUUUGCCUCAUUCAGUGCCCAGGAUGGAUGCGACUCAUUGAAUAGGCAUCUGCAGUCCGACAGUUUGUCUCAGAUUUGCCUGGAGCUGAAGAUACAUCCUUUGAUUAUAUCCCUGGCUCUGCUGCAAAGUUUCUGUGUUAGGGUACUGGACUAGUAACUUCAACCAAACAAAGUGGGCAUGAAAAGCCUCUUAUUUUUUUGCUGUGGGUGUCUGACUGUAAUGACUUGAGAUCUCAUUUGUGAAAGAGCUAAGUGCUUAUUACAUGCAACUGGGGCAGAAUGCUGCAAAAUGCUAAAUACUCUGAAAAAGAGAGACAUUCAGAGGUUGAAAAUUAAAAUUAGUAAAACAGUGUCAUACAUGAUCUCGCCGGACUCCCUUUCCUGUAUCCAAAAUACUUCUUCCAGCAUAGGGACAGUGUGACAAAAAUAAGUAUAUAUCUCAGAAAUGGCAAUUUUGAGGUUUCAAAUCCCCAUUAUGACAAAAGGAAAACCAUUCUCAGGUCUGAAGGGUGGACCUCUGUCUCAUACAGGUUCCAGAUGUUUAGGCUCUCCUAUGUAGCUGCUCAAAUCAGCAGACUUAUGGCACUUCUAAAUCAUUUGUCCACUCAGUUUAACCAAGAAGGCUUUGCCCUUCAUGAUUUAAUCAAAACUGAAAAAUGUCAGCAAAAAACUUAAGUUUUGACAGAUCUUUUCUUGUAAGACAGCUGUUUUGUACACAUUUCCUGUCUGAACUGCUGAGACUAUGGCAGAGCUCUGGGAUGAGUGUGCCAGUCCCACUGUACAAGUUUUUGUUUGCAAGAGUUGUUGCUCUGGGAGUAGCCAAACUAGGCUUGCAAAGGCAUGUCUGGAGUUCAUGUGAACUCUUCUGUAACAGCUACAGAUGCUCCACAGUUCCAGGGGAGCUCUCCUGGCCCAGGUCAUCAUGCCAUGCUACAGACACAGACAGUGACCAAUUUCCUUGGUAAGCCCAGUAACUCUGGGCCAUCCAUCCAACCUCGAGGCCCCCAGGUUUUCCCAGAAGGUUACACUGCUUCAGGCUUAAAGUAGUCAAUGGAUACAACAUUAUAUAAACCAUUUGAAUAAAGCUAGCACCUAUGUAAAUGUCAAAGCUUCAUACCUUCUUCACAUAUAUACAUCCCUGUCCACACCACAUCUGAAUCUCUUAAUUUUUGAAGAAGAAGACUUUAAGUGUCUCAGAGGAGAGAUCACCUGUCCUGCAAGGCUGAUGUCAAAGGGCAGCAAGGAGCAUCCUAACCAGCCCUAUUUAGUAGGCACUACAAAAGCAGGUGCAACCAAAGCUGUUCCAAGGAGAAGAGACACUAAUCUCAUCCCUCUUGGACUCUAGCUGUCGGAAUCUGUGGUAUUGAUGAUUCCAAGAUUGUAAAAAGUCUCUGUCUUUCUGCCCUGCUGCCAAAGAAGAAGUCAUAAUUUGUCUGUGCUGAUUUUCAAGGUUGUUUAUUCUUGCUUAUCUCUAACAUGUUCUGCUGCCCUGCCGCAGGUCUGUCCUGCAGGGCAGCGUGUGGGGCUCUGCCCCUCAGUGGGAUGGUACAAACAUUAUAUACCAGAAACUACGUGUGCUAUAUUUACAAUAAUGUGCCAAUAUCUAUCAUCUACGUUAAACAGCGUGUCCCCAACCUAAACCAACAGAAAAAUGGCAACACUACAGUGAAACAUGGAGGGCAUGAAGAAGGAGAAAAAGGACAAGACACACCCAAUUUCCUCCAUCUUGUCCCCUUUGAACCCCUAAUCUAGAAUCCUAAAAUUUUACUUUUGCACCCAUGCCACACUUAAUUAUUACUCUUAUCAAACACUCAGAGCUUGUAAUUCAUCCUGUAAGAUUGAAAACUCUUUUCCAUGGACAGAGAUCACAGACACUGUCUCUCAGGGCUCUGUACAAGGGGGUUCCUGACCCCCUGCCAGGGUCCCAGACCUUCCAGGGCAGACAGAGGGAAGCCCUGGAUUCCCACACUAGCCAGGUAAUUCUAUAUCCUUUUCCAACAACCCUUUCCACUUUUAGAAGACAACAAAAUUUAGGCAAGGCUACUAGAAGAGACGGAAAGAUUUCAGGAAGCUGUGGCAGCAACUACAGCCUUUGCUGUCUGGGUUCUGUGCACAUCACCUCUAACAGGGAUCAGUGCAACCUGGCAUUUCAAGAAUAUUACUGUGGGAGUGGUUCUCUUCUGCAGCAUGCUACAGUUUCUUGUGCAGAAUCAAAUUUGGGAUCAUUUUGACAUCUGGUCUGCGGCACUCAUCCAUCUGUUGUAACUGAGUAGGUGUUGGGUGGGGUUGACAGGAGAGACUUGUUUAAGUGCUUGUUUUCAUUCUGUAGAGGAAUGGCAGAGCCAGUUCAGUAAUUAAUUAAAUACUCAUUUAAAAAA
ensembl:lncRNA